rnacentral:rRNA from 1 species
GAUCCUGGCUCAGGACGAACGCUGGCGGCGCGCCUAACACAUGCAAGUCGAACGAGCGAGAGAGAGCUUGCUUUCUCGAGCGAGUGGCGAACGGGUGAGCAACGCGUGAGGAACCUGCCUCAAAGAGGGGGACAACAGUUGGAAACGACUGCUAAUACCGCAUAAGCCCACGACCCGGCAUCGGGUAGAGGGAAAAGGAGCAAUCCGCUUUGAGAUGGCCUUGCGUCCGAUUAG